AUGGCCAAACGCACCGGCCUUGCUCAUGCACCAACACUGUUCUCGCUGCUGCUUCUGAUGUGCUUUGCUAUCCAUGUACAUUGCCGAAUCAUGGAUGACAAAGUCAACAAGAAGAUUAAUUUACCACAUGGAUUGUGCGUGCAUAAGCAUGGUAUAGACUGCUCAGGCUCAUCUUAUUGCGAUUGUUGUUUAGCAAACAACCUCUGCUAUGUUUCAUUGGACCAAUGCAUGGAUGCGUGCAAAAAUACAUACCCUUCUUCAGGCGCAUUGGCCACGUCGGCCCAUCCUCCUUUGCCAUCCCAUACAUCCUGA
rnacentral:rRNA from 1 species